CCCUGGUGGGCGACCCAGCCCGAGCUGCCUGGGGCCCCAAGGGAAGCUGAACGCCCUGUGGGCUCCCGGGAUGGUUCUUCCCGUUCUUUGCGCUGCCUUCACCCAUUGAAGGACCCUGUGCCCACCCUGCCCAGUCGAUUUCGGGGCCGCUGAGGAGCUUCCGCUGCCAUCUUCGGAUCCUGUGUUCCGCACGGGGGCUCCACCAGGGCAGGGAUGGUGCAGAAUGGGGAAAUGGAGAGAGAACCUGAAAGAGCACCAAACUCGAGGACCUAUUGCUCCCCAAGAAUAACAUCUUCCAGAAAAACUAGACAGAAAACUAGGCGUCUGGGAACUCUGAAAUCCUUGGAGGAGUAGCAUCAUCAUGAACCUCUGUGAUCCUUUUGGCAAAGGACUUGCUCCCAUUGUUUGCUUGUUCAAUUGUCUGUCUGUUAAAUAAAUAAAACCCUUUUCCUAUAUCUUUAAAA